rnacentral:rRNA from 1 species
GGGGAAUAUUGCACAAUGGGCGCAAGCCUGAUGCAGCGACGCCGCGUGAGGGAUGGAGGCCUUCGGGUUGUAAACCUCUUUUGUCGGGGAGCAAGGACUGCCACGAGUGGCAGGGCGAGAGUACCCGAAGAAAAAGCAUCGGCUAACUCCGUGCCAGCAGCCGCGGUAAUACGGAGGAUGCGAGCGUUAUCCGGAUUUAUUGGGUUUAAAGGGUGCGUAGGCGGAAGUUCAAGUCAGCGGUAAAAUCGAGGGGCUCAACCCCUUUAAGCCGUUGAAACUGGGUUUCUUGAGUGGGCGAGAAGUGUGCGGAAUGUGUGGUGUAGCGGUGAAAUGCAUAGAUAUCACACAGAACUCCGAUUGCGAAGGCAGCACACCGGCGCCCAACUGACGCUGAGGCACGAAAGCGUGGGGAUCAAACAGGAUUAGAUACCCUGGUAGUCCACGCAGUAAACGAUGAACACUAGGUGUGCGGGUCGAAUGAGAUCUGCGUGCCACAGCGAAAGCGUUAAGUGUUCCACCUGGGGAGUACGCCGGCAACGGUGAAACUCAAAGGAAUUGACGGGGGCCCGCACAAGCGGAGGAACAUGUGGUUUAAUUCGAUGAUACGCGAGGAACCUUACCCGGGCUCAAACGGCAGAGGAAAGUUUUUGAAAGGAGGCUGCUCUACGGAGUCUCUGCCGAGGUGCUGCAUGGUUGUCGUCAGCUCGUGCCGUGAGGUGUCGGCUUAAGUGCCAUAACGAGCGCAACCCCUACCGCCAGUUGCCAUCAGGUAAAGCUGGGGACUCUGGCGGGACUGCCGGCGCAAGCUGUGAGGAAGGCGGGGAUGACGUCAAAUCAGCACGGCCCUUACGUCCGGGGCGACACACGUGUUACAAUGGCAGGUACAGCGGGAAGCCACCGAGCGAUCGGGAGCAGAACCCGAAAACCUGUCUCAGUUCGGAUUGGAGUCUGCAACUCGACUCCAUGAAGCUGGAUUCGCUAGUAAUCGCGCAUCAGCCAUGGCGCGGUGAAUACGUUCCCG